rnacentral:lncRNA from 1 species
UUUUUUUUUUUUUUUUUUUUUGUCUUUUUGCUAUUUCUUUGGGCCACUCCAGCGGCAUAUGGAGGUUCCCAGGCUAGGGGUCGAAUCGGAGCUGUAGCCACUAGCCUACGCCAGAGCCACAGCAACUCGGGAUCCGAGCCGCAUCUGCAACCUACACCACAGCUCACGGCAACGCCGGAUCGUUAACCCACUGAGCAAGGACAGGGACCGAACCCGCAACCUCAUGGUUCCUAGUCGGAUUCGUUAACCACUGCGCCACGACGGGAACUCCCAUUUCUCCUUCUUUGUCACUUGUUUGUACGUGCUCCUGAGCUUGUGGAAUAGUGUUUUACGCAGAUAAUCAAUCACCUGUACAACUAACCAGUUCAACAACAAAUGGGAACUUAAGAUCUGAUAUCCCACAAGAAUAGUUUUUUUUUGGGCCAUGCCCAUGGCAUGCAGAAGUUCCUGGGCCAGGGAUGGAACCCAUGCCACAGAAGUAACAAUGUCAGAUCCUUAAGCUGCUGAGCCACCAGGGAACUCCCAUGAGAAUAUUUUUAAAGGCUUGGAUCUUGUUUUGGACAUUGUUUCCUUAUUCCUUUAGCUAACACCCUUCUUAAAAGCAAUUCUGAAAUUUCUGAGAAAGUAGAUUAAAUCUUGGGGACAAUGACAAAUGUCUCUGGGCGAGGUGUUAAUAUGUUAGAAAAAUAAAUGAAGAUAAUCUUCCCCAUAGUGUAAAAUACCUCAUCAGCAGAUAAGACUGAGGAAUCAAUAAAGGUGUUUUACCAAAUAGUAACUCGCAGAAGGUUAAAAUGUUAAGCCACCUUAAUUUUAGAAAAUUUUCUAAUUAGCAUAUGUACAAAAAUUUUUAACCUAAGGUUAGAAAGCUGACUUACUACUGAUUUUUAAUAUUGACAACAUAAAAUAAAAGCAACAUAGAAUAAAAAUUGAUUACCUAAUCAAGUAGCAACAGAAGAGUAAACUAAGGAUGAAGACAAAUAUAGCAGUGCCAAAAACCACAAUAUAUAUGUUGAGUGGUAGAUUCUGGAAUCCAAUAUUAGGCAUCCUGAAGUUGUAAUGUGGGAAAUCUGAGCUCAUGGAUGAACUGUGGGGAAAGAAAAGAAUGGGAAAAAAUUAGAUUAUAAAGACUAAGAACCAAUAUAGCAUUAUCUCCAUACACGUAUAGAGGCAAUUUAUUUUCUUAAGGCUUAACCCCAUUUGAAUCAAAUUUGAUAGAGGGUUAAUAUCCUUGCCAUUAAUUAAUUACAGCACAAAUAUUUAAUGAGUACUUACUAGGUACGUGGCACUAUUCCAGAUGCUUGAGAUCCUACCUAAAAAGUUUUACAAAAAGAUAUUCAGAGAGGAGUUCCCAUCGUGGCGCAUGGGUUAAGGAUUUGGCACUGUCACUGCAGCAGCUUGGGUUGCUUCUGUGGCUCAGGUUUGAUUCCUGGCUCCUGACCUUCCACAUGGGUGUGGCCAAAACCCCCACAAAACCCUUUAUUAAAUCAGGCUCUGUUCUAAGCAUUUUACUGGCUUUAUUUUAAUUUUCACAUAAAACUUCUAUAGGUAGGUAUCAUAACAUCUCCAUUUUAUAUAUAAGGGAACCAAAGCUUAGAGUUUUGGUCACAUAGCCAUAACUGACCAAGUAUGUAUGAAAGUCAAGGCCUCUCCAACUCCAAAGCCAGUGCCCUCAGCCUAUAAGCUCUAUAAUCUUUACAAUUAGAAAAUACUAAAAAAGGGCCUAUUUCUGUCGAUAAGUUUGGUAAUACUGAUCACUACAUAGUUAAAAUACCAUGAAUGGAGUCUGUCCCUUUUUUUAGGUGAUGAGCUAUAAAGUGGCUCAUCACACCUUCAUGCUAGGAUUUUGUCAUUUUGAUUCAUUACAAAAUAAAGAGCAACUGCCAGGCUUGAUUAUGAAGACCACAUAAUGGUAAUUGAAUUAUCCAUGAUGACUGCCAAAAUAAAAACAGAACUAAAUAAAACCCCACCAAACAAAAUGCUUCUGCUUUUAUUUAUACAAGGUACAUUAAAAAUGUGUUUGUAGAUCUUUGGUGUCCUUGUUGGUUCCGAGAAGAGCAUAUUUAUGUAGACAACAUUGAGAUACUGACUGGCUGUAUCGGAAACCUCAGUGUUAUCAUUACUUUAAUUUCCAACUUCUAAUAACUUAUUUCAGGAAGCAACACUUGAAAAGAACUACUUCAUCCCAUGGAAACUCCUCUCUGAGAACUUUCAAACAAAAAUAACAGACAAUAUUUAGUUUUGAACAUUUAGCCACUUUCUGCAGGUGCUUUUAUUCAAAUAUAUAAUUUCCUUUUUCUUACAUUUAGAUCUUCUUGAAAGAGAAGGAAGGAGUUAAGGAGUACUUUACUAAACAUAUCUAGCACAUAUACCGUAGAGCUAUAAGGAAAUACAGCUGCACAAAACUUAACUCUUCUACACUGCUGACAGGGCUUCAUUUGAUGACUCCUGCAAGAGUCAAGACUUAGAUGACUAUCCUUCAAAUAUACAUACAAAAUUUGGCCACGCCAGCAGCAUGUGGAAAUUCCCGGGCCAGGGAUGGAACCUGAACCAUAGCAGCAACCCGAGCCACAGCAGGGACAACACUGGAUCCUUAACCCACUGCACCACAAGGGAAUUCUUAUCCUUCAAUUCCUUAGUUAUACCCUUCACCAGACAAACUGGGCUUGGUAAAAAUAAUUCUCAUCUUAGGAAAUAGGAGAUUAAAGGUAUAUGCUAGGUGGGCUAAUAGAGAAGAAACAGGCAAACAGAUGGAAACUUGUAUAGUGGAAAAAGGGACAGGUUUGUAGUCAGCAACUCUAGACGUUAUUCCCAGGAUGUCACUAGCUAGUCAGUACUUGGUCCAUCUAUGCUUCAAUUUUCUCAUCUUUUAAAUGGGACAAUGUCUAUCCUAUCAACUUCAAGGAUUCCUGGAAGGAUAAAAGGAGACCAUUUUAGUGUUUGAAAACUCUGAGUUAGGACAAAAUACUAAGGCUCUAAUAUGUGUGUGUAUAAGUGUGUGUGUGUGUGUGUGUGCGCAUAUGUGUGUGUACACUUUGGUGGGGGGAGUAGGGGAGAGGAAUGAUAUUAAAUAAAAGUAGUAAAUAAUGCAAAAGAAGUCCUAGAAAAGAUCAAGUCUCUACAGAGGAUUCUAACCAAACCAACUCCUCCUUCCUCAGAGAGCUUCUCUGCACACACUGCCAAGCUUUGUGUCAAGCGUCCUGCCAACCUGGCCACUAGAGACAGAAACUGGAAACCUAUCCGGGCCAAAGGUAACCAUCAAUAUAGGCCAGCUGGGAGUGAUCUGGUAGUGUGAGAA